AGAGUUUGAUCAUGGCUCAGAGCGAACGCUGGCGGCAGGCUUAACACAUGCAAGUCGAGCGGGCGUAGCAAUACGUCAGCGGCAGACGGGUGAGUAACGCGUGGGAACGUACCUUUUGGUUCGGAACAACACAGGGAAACUUGUGCUAAUACCGAAUAAGCCCUUACGGGGAAAGAUUUAUCGCCGAAAGAUCGGCCCGCGUCUGAUUAGCUAGUUGGUGAGGUAAUGGCUCACCAAGGCGACGAUCAGUAGCUGGUCUGAGAGGAUGAUCAGCCACAUUGGGACUGAGACACGGCCCAAACUCCUACGGGAGGCAGCAGUGGGGAAUAUUGGACAAUGGGCGCAAGCCUGAUCCAGCCAUGCCGCGUGAGUGAUGAAGGCCCUAGGGUUGUAAAGCUCUUUUGUGCGGGAAGAUAAUGACGGUACCGCAAGAAUAGC
rnacentral:rRNA from 1 species